rnacentral:rRNA from 1 species
GAGUCGAGUUAUUUGGGACUAUAGCUCUAAUAGUUUGGUUGGUGGUAAUGACACAUCAAAGGCUAAAUAUUGGUUAGAUCGAUGCAUAUUGCGGAGACCGAUAGCAUACAAGUACCGUAAGGGAACGAUGAAAAGCACCCUAUUGAGUUCACGGCACAGACUCGACGCGCGGUUCGCCGCGUGACCUGUCCAGUGCCCAACAACUAUAGUGGGAGUGAAAGAGAGAGUGAAAUCGCCUAUACAUAAAAUAUAUGCACUACACACAGUAACUGCAUGCAGUCUGCGUUAGUACAAUCGGACAGAGUGUCGUAUCAUUGUAUGGCCGCCUAAUACAUAACACACACACAUUACACUGUGUAUUAUGGUCAGGCCCAUAGCUGGGUUCGCCCGCUAUACGCGACACAACUGUACGACCCGUUUUGAAACACGGACCAAGGAGUUCAACUGGAUUACGAGUCGUCGAGUAACAUCUAAUAUGUACACUCACACGGCACAGCGAAAGCAACUUAAUCCUUUUUACAGUGCUAGGUCGGCCGUCAAAAGCUGACCGCAGCACGCGCUGAGUGAGUAUAUGCGUGAGGGCCUCGUGUCAACGCGCGUACCUGUACGCCUUUGUGCGAACAGGAUCACUCAAGCGUUCAACGAGUAUAUCUUGUUGAGACCCGAAAGAUGGUGAACUAUGCUCGGAUAUGGCGAAGUCAGGUGAAAACUUGAUGGAAGCUUGCGUUGUGCGGAACUGACGUGCAAAUCGUUACCGCCUAACCUGAGUAUAGGGGCGAAAGACUCAUCGAACCAUCUAGUAGCUGGUUCCCUCCGAAGUUUCUCUCAGGAUAGC